AGAAGAAUAUAUAUGGUCCCGUUACGUGUUUUACAGGUUCCAUUUGUUUAAUGCUUUGUUUUGUUGUAGUGUAGUUAUUUUAUGGAUUACACUUUUACAGGCGUUGUAUGAAGUAUUUUCGCGGUUUAUUUUGUACGUAACCUCAAAUUUGUUGGCGGUAAUUUUCAGGAUUACAUCUCCAAUUUGUAGAAAAACUCAAAAAGUGCGCAAUGAUCAACAACGUACUUAUAUCGAAGUACAACAGCCUAUGCUUGACAAAAAUUGUGACAAAACCGUUGUCCAUACACUAGAAACACCAAAUCAAAAAGAAAUUGGAGUUAAAGAUGUUUAUAACCUAUUGUUAAGGCUCACAAGAAAGCAAGAGUUAUUACAGCUGGUAGUAACGGACAUAAAGGAAAGUUUAAUUAAAAUGGAGACUGUAUUAUUGAGAAACCAUCAGGUUGACGUAGAAACAGGAGAUGCGGAAUCCAUUUCCCUUAAAUUUAACCUACCCAUUGAUGGUGUCGAGAAGCUAAAAGAAUUUGAAGCUUACUUCAUUGAAAAUGAGAAAGCAUUUUAAAAAGCAGUUCAUGAAGUAUCUCAAUUAGGAGGGAAGCAUUUGUAUGACUUUAUUUAUAGAGCUGGGAGAACAUUAAUUACAAAUAGCUUCGCAUCAAGUUCAGCUACUUGGGAA